rnacentral:rRNA from 1 species
UUGGCGGACGGGUGAGUAACACGUUGGUACCUACCCUCUAGUGGGAAGUAAACUUUACCGUAGAAAAUACGAGGCUAAUACCGCAUAAUAUCUACGGAUUAAAGACUUUAUUGCGCUAGAGGAGGGGCCGUCGCGUCUGAUUAGCUUGUUGGUGAGGUAAAAGCUCACCAAGGCGACGAUCAGUAGCUGGAUCGAGAGGUUGACCAGCCACACUGGGACUGAGAUACGGCCCAGACUCCUACGGGAGGCAGCAGUAAGGAAUCUUCCACAAUGGGCGAAAGCCUGAUGGAGCAAUGCCGCGUGCAGGAUGACGGCCUUCGGGUUGUAAACUGCUUUUAUAUGGGAAGAUUAUGACGGUACCAUAUGAAUAAGGACCGGCUAACUACGUG